rnacentral:tmRNA from 1 species
ACUGCCAACCAAGAACUGGCACUCGCAGCCUAAUUUAGGCUGAGACGUCGUUCCAUCUGAGGCCCGCGGGGGUGGAAUGGCGCGAUGCAGCGGGCUGGUUCCACGCCGGUGCUCAGCGGCGUGGGGCGAGACAAUACUGGGCUAGCGGUGAUUCUAAGCCGGCCGAUAGGCGUGGGUCGCUGCGAAGCUUAAAGAAUCGGCUACACAUGUAGAUGCGAUGUGCCGACGAUCUUCGGACAGGGGUUCAACUCCCCUCGCCUCCACCA